UACGUAGGGUGCGAGCGUUGUCCGGAAUUACUGGGCGUAAAGAGCUCGUAGGUGGUUUGUCGCGUUGUUCGUGAAAACCUGAGGCUUAACCUUGGGCGUGCGGGCGAUACGGGCAGACUGGAGUACUGCAGGGGAGACUGGAAUUCCUGGUGUAGCGGUGGAAUGCGCAGAUAUCAGGAGGAACACCGGUGGCGAAGGCGGGUCUCUGGGCAGUAACUGACGCUGAGGAGCGAAAGCGUGGGGAGCGAACAGG
rnacentral:rRNA from 2 species